UAUUGCCAUCUCCACUUCAAACUUCUCUAUACAAGCUUUCUUUUUUAACAAAAUGUUGCAGUAAGCAGUUGAGCCAAUUGAACAUGGAUACUUUAGUCGAUGCAUAUUGUCGACUAAACGAAAGCAUAUGGUACAUGCUCGUCGGAGCAUCUCUAAAUCAUACCCUAGUGAAGCCAGAAUACCGGUUUAAGUGUUGCUGGCAAGGCACUAGCCUUUGCAUCAUCGCAACGAGACUUGAAACCUUAACAUGGGAUGCAUCCAA
rnacentral:misc_RNA from 1 species